rnacentral:rRNA from 1 species
GUACGGCGAGUGACCGGGAAGAGCUCAAAUUUGAAAUCUGGCGUGCUCAGUGCGUCCGAGUUGUAAUCUAUAGAGGCGUUUUCCGUGCCGGACUGUGUCUAAGUCCCUUGGAACAGGGUAUCAAAGAGGGUGAUAAUCCCGUACUUGACACAAUGACCGGUGCUCUGUGAUACGUCUUCUACGAGUCGAGUUGUUUGGGAAUGCAGCUCAAAAUGGGUGGUGAGUUCCAUCUAAAGCUAAAUAUUGGCGAGAGACCGAUAGCGAACAAGUACCGUGAGGGAAAGAUGAAAAGCACUUUGGAAAGAGAGUUAAACAGUACGUGAAAUUGUUGAAAGGGAAACGAUUGAAGUCAGUCGUGACUGAGAGGCUCAGCCGGUUCUGCCGGUGUAUUCCCCUCAGUCGGGUCAACAUCAGUUUUGUUCGGUGGAUAAGGGCAGCUGGAAGGUGGCACCUCCGGGUGUGUUAUAGCCAGCUGUCGCAUACAUCGAAUGAGACUGAGGAAUGCAGCUCGCCUUUAUGGCCGGGGUUCGCCCACGUCCGAGCUUAGGAUGUUGACAUAAUGGCUUUAAACGACC